rnacentral:rRNA from 1 species
GACAGAGGGUGCAAGCGUUGUUCGGAAUUACUGGGCGUAAAGGGCGUGUAGGCGGUGGAGUGUGUCCGGUGUGAAAGCCCUUGGCUCAACUGAGGAAGUGCAUCGGAAACUACUCUACUUGAGUACGAGAGAGGAUGGCGGAAUUCCCAGUGUAGAGGUGAAAUUCGUAGAUGCUGGGAGGAACACCCGAGGCGAAGGCGGCCAUCUGGCUCGUUACUGACGUUGAGACGCGAAAGCGUGGGGAGCAAACAGGAUUAGAUACCCCUGUA